GACGAACGCUGGCGGCGUGCCUAAUACAUGCAAGUCGAGCGAAGUUUUUCUGGUGCUUGCACUAGAAAAACUUAGCGGCGAACGGGUGAGUAACACGUAAAGAACCUGCCUCAUAGACUGGGACAACUAUUGGAAACGAUAGCUAAUACCGGAUAACAGCAUUAACUGCAUGGUUGAUGUUUAAAAGUUGGUUAUGCUAACACUAUGAGAUGGCUUUGCGGUGCAUUAGCUAGUUGGUGGGGUAAAGGCCUACCAAGGCGACGAUGCAUAGCCGACCUGAGAGGGUGAUCGGCCACACUGGGACUGAGACACGGCCCAGACUCCUACGGGAGGCAGCAGUAGGGAAUCUUCCGCAAUGGGCGAAAGCCUGACGGAGCAACGCCGCGUGAGUGAAGAAGGAUUUCGGUUCGUAAAGCUCUGUUGUUAGGGAAGAAUGGAUAUGUAGUAACUAUACAUGUACGAGACG
rnacentral:rRNA from 1 species